rnacentral:rRNA from 1 species
GAUGAACGCUAGCGGCAGGCUUAACACAUGCCAGUCGAGGGGCAGCGCGGGAUAGCAAUAUCCUGGCGGCGACCGGCGGAAGGGUGCGUAACGCGUGAGCGACAUGCCCGUUGCCCGGGGACAACCGGUGGAAACGCCGACUAAUCCCCGAUGGGAUACGAUGCUUCAUGGCAUUGUAUUGAAAGUUACGGCGGCGACGGAUUGGCUCGCGUCCGAUUAGCUGGUUGGCGGGGUAACGGCCCACCAAGGCUGCGAUCGGUAGGGGUUCUGAGAGGAAGGCCCCCCACAAUGGGACUGAGACACGGCCCAUACUCCUACGGGAGGCAGCAGUGAGGAAUAUUGGUCAAUGGGCGGAAGCCUGAACCAGCCAUGCCGCGUGCGGGAAGGAGGCCCUAUGGGCUGUGAACCGCUUUUGCCUGGGGGCAAUAAGGGCGUCGCGCACGUCCGAUGAGAGUACCAGGCGAAUAAGCAUCGGCUAACUCCGUG